UGAAUUUCCAGAAAAUGAUUACACGAAAUUCAAUAUAUCAACAUGAUGUGUUAAUUUCACCACGACAUGUUGUCGGUUUAAACUCAAUCAAUUUAGGGUUUUUAGUCUCAAUCAAAACUUUUCUUACUUUUUCAGCUUCACUUGUUUCCUCGCCAUGUUGUUCUCUCCACGAAAACUCUUCAACAAUUUCUUCACUUCUUCGAUUCCUUCCAACAAGGUAUGGUUUUUAUGCUAUUCUCUUGCUUAUAAUCGAGUCUCAAGUGUUUAUCAGUCUGAAUUUACUUCAUCUGAACAAGGUUUAGGGGCAAUUUCUUGAACUACGGUUCCGAUUUUUGCCAAAAUUGGACCCAAUUCUUGUUAUUUCUACCUUGCAUUUGUUGUAAACCUACUCGAUUACAUGUCGUAAACCAACCCUUGACUUGAUUACAGUUGAUUAGGACUUGAUUUGGUUCGAAAUUCCACGAUAAAUCUCGAUAGUUCAUUAACCAUGACGACUCGUCGUGCUAAUAACUUUUUGGGCCUAAUUUGUUUAUGUUUUAUCUUUAAUCUUUCAUAUUGUUGCAUGGUUUGUUGUUUUUUUUUCUUUUUCAGGUCAUCGCCAUCCAUUCUCAUAGUAACCAACCCGGGUGUCUCCCCGACUUUCCUUGGUAUAAAUUACCUUGUGUUGUGGGUCCCAAAGUGUUUGCACAAUGAAACGGGAGCCUUGAUUGGAUGAAGCAAAGGAAAGUCGAUGUUCCUGCAGUAGUUGAUUGAGGAUGGAUUGAACAAGCUGGAUUUUUAGAGGGAGUUGAACCAUUUUGGGUUAAGGAUUUUGAUGGGGCACAAAGGAGGUUUAUGUGCGUGGCAUGGCAGAGGUUGUUCCAAAUUCAAGAAGUUAUCUAUAAGGAGUUGGAGAUUAAAAUUUUAGCUACAGUUCCAUUUCGAAGGAAAAUCGGGUACGUUAGAGGAAUGGAAUCUUACGUUUUGUCUUGGGGGGAAGGUGAGAGUUAAGCCUCGCUGAGCUUGCGAUGCGGAAAAUCGGGUAUGUUAGAGGAAUGGAAUCUUAUAUAUAUGGACCCCCCGUUUCUUUUGGUGGUGUUUCUCUCAGUCCGGGUGGGGAAAGAUCGUCGUGGUUCUCCGUUAUUUGGCGGAAUGUUGAUAACUCGGAUUACGCGGCCAUUUGGUAUUCUAAACAACUAUGAAGCCGUAUUUUCGACAGUCGAGUCUUAGUAAUCCUUUUAUCCUCUUUUGUAUAAGCAGGAAAAUAUUUUUAAUGAGUAAAAACUCACGUCUAGUAAAUGUUUCUCUUUGUUAGUAUUAAAGUUUAUUGAAGAAUCUGAUGCAGUACACAUGUAAUAUUUUCCAUUUUUCAUUCACCACACCGUGGUAUCCAUCGCUACGACGUGUUAUCGUAGUCAGAACACGAAAAACCAAUCCUCCGCAUCCCACCAUGUUGUGUUCUCAAAGACCAUGAGGUGGUGCCUUUUCAAGUCUGAUUUUCAAGUCUAAUCAUAUACAUUCUAAAGUAUAAGUGUCCAACUCUUUGAAUCACAUUUUGUAGUGGCCAACCACUUCCGUUUCCACACCCUUGAUCAAGCUAUCUUACACAUAAGCCACACGAUCCAAUAUGCAUCUUCUAUCCCAUGGGAGUCUAUUCCUUUUUCUCCCUUUUUAAUUUUAUGUUUUGCAUAGCAUGCAAUGAGGGCAUUGCAUGAAUCAAGUGUGGGGCAAGGGGUAUAUUGCAUGAGAGAAAAAGCAUUUGAUUUUUCAAAAUUUUGCAUUGCUAGUUUUCAUAAAUUUGCAUAUAUAUAAACUUGAAACAAUAGUUUAAUUUAGGAAAAACUAGCUAAUUAAAAUCUUUGCUAGUAUUCGAUGGGAUGAUCAGAAGAGAACCCAAAUAUUUACCCAGGCCAACACAUGUUAUAGUGUAUUUUUGGCUUCCCGUUUCCUAGUGAAAAGUCAUGAAGUAUGAAAGGUAAUUUGGUAGCUUAUAUGAUGUAACAAGUUCUGCAGCCUGAACCUGAAAUUCAUCCCAGAGAGCUUAAGUAGUCAUUGCACCUAGACUAAUGGCUCUAACCAAUAAAAGUUUAAGUUAAGCUCCUUGCUUAAUCAUGUAGGACUUUGAGUGAAAAAAAGUGAGACAUGUAAAAAAAGAAGAGAGAAAUUAACGAAAAGUUGAAAAUUUGUGGAGCUGUCAAAGUAUAAAUUCAAAGAUAAAAAUGCUAAAGAAAUAACAAAAAGUGGAAGAUACCAAAAAUUAAAAAAAAAUGAGGUGAAUUCAAAGAAAUCAAAGAUCAAUUAAUCAAACAAGAGAUGAAUUCCAUGUACCUCCAUAGUGGAAUCAAGAGUUGUAAUUUUUCUAGAUUAUGUAUGCUUGGAAGUUUAACCAAAAAUACCUUGAGGUUAAGAAAGGUUUCGUGUGUUGCAUUCGUAGGGUUGCAAAAAUGAGUGUCGUAUAAGUUAAGGGGUGAAAGUUCAUAUGCAUUGUGAGUAUUUAGGAAUGGGAGGUUUUUAGGAAUUAUAGACAAAAAUACCCGCAUUGCAGUCUUGGGAUAAUGGUUGGCCUUGAAAUGGAUUGUUCUUUGUGAUAUUGGUGAGAUAAUAAAAAUCAAUUUGCUUGAGGGAAAGCAAAGAAUAAGUCUAGGGUAUUUUGAUAUGUGCAUAUCUAUACAUAUAAUUAUACAUCAUAUCUUAAUAUUUUUAUGGCCUUUAUAGAAUAAAAGGUAAUUAAUUUGUUAUGUAUUCUGUUGUAGGGGUAAAAGAUAUGCUUGGAGCAGAAAGGAAGCUGGAAGCUAGAAGCUAAAGAAUUUGAUUAAAUAUUAUUAAAUGAAGAAAAGUAUACCGAAC
rnacentral:lncRNA from 1 species